UACGAAGGGGGCUAGCGUUGCUCGGAAUGACUGGGCGUAAAGGGCGCGUAGGCGGAUGGCUUUGUCGGGCGUGAAAUUCCAGGGCUUAACCUUGGGGCUGCGUUCGAGACGGGUUGUCUUGAGUGGGGAAGAGGGUCGUGGAAUUCCUGGUGUAGCGGUGAAAUGCGUAGAUAUCAGGAGGAACACCGGUGGUGUAAACGGCUUUCUGGACCGUAACUGACGCUGAUGCACGAAAGCGUGGGUAGCAAACAGG
rnacentral:rRNA from 1 species